UACGAAGGGGGCUAGCGUUGCUCGGAAUACUGGGCGUAAAGGGAGCGUAGGCGGAUAGUUAAGUUGGGGGUGAAAGCCCGGGGCUCAACCUCGGAAUUGCCUUCAAUACUGGCUAUCUAGAGUAUGGGAGAGGUGUGUGGAACUCCGAGUGUAGAGGUGAAAUUCGUAGAUAUUCGGAAGAACACCAGUGGCGAAGGCGACACACUGGCCCAUUACUGACGCUGAGUCUCGAAAGCGUGGGGAGCAAACAGG
rnacentral:rRNA from 1 species